UAACCAUGCAAGUCGAACGCUCACCUUCGGGUGGGAGUGGCAGACGGGUGAGUAACACGUGGGAACGUACCCUUUGGUUCGGGACAACUCUGGGAAACUGGAGCUAAUACCGGAUACGCCCUUUUGGGGAAAGGUUUACUGCCGAAGGAUCGGCCCGCGUCUGAUUAGCUAGUUGGUGGGGUAACGGCCUACCAAGGCGACGAUCAGUAGCUGGUCUGAGAGGAUGAUCAGCCACACUGGGACUGAGACACGGCCCAGACUCCUACGGGAGGCAGCAGUGGGGAAUAUUGGACAAUGGGCGCAAGCCUGAUCCAGCCAUGCCGCGUGAGUGAUGAAGGCCUUAGGGUUGUAAAGCUCUUUUAUCCGGGACGAUAAUGACGGUACCGGAGGAAUAAGCCCCGGCUAACUUCGUGCCAGCAGCCGCGGUAAUACGAAGGGGGCUAGCGUUGCUCGGAAUCACUGGGCGUAAAGGGCGCGUAGGCGGCGUUUUAAGUCGGGGGUGAAAGCCUGUGGCUCAACCACAGAAUGGCCUUCGAUACUGGGACGCUUGAGUCUGGUAGAGGUUGGUGGAACUGCGAGUGUAGAGGUGAAAUUCGUAGAUAUUCGCAAGAACACCGGUGGCGAAGGCGGCCAACUGGACCGGCACUGACGCUGAGGCGCGAAAGC
rnacentral:rRNA from 1 species